UUUUGGAUAGCACCUUACUUACUUGGAUAACCGUGGUAAAUUCUAGAGCUAAUACAUGCUGAAAAUCCCGACUUCGGAAGGGAUGUAUUUAUUAGAUUAAAAGCCAAUGCCCUCUGGGCUCUCUGGUGAUUCAUGAUAACUGCGCGAAUCGCAUGGCCUUGCGCCGGCGAUGGUUCAUUCAAAUUUCUUCCCUAUCAACUUUCGAUGUUUGGGUAGUGGCCAAACAUGGUUGCAACGGGUAACGGAGGGUUAGGGCUCGGCCCCGGAGAAGGAGCCUGAGAAACGGCUCCUACAUCCAAGGAAGGCAGCAGGCGCGCAAAUUACCCAAUCCCGACGCGGGGAGGUAGUGACAAUAAAUACUGAUACAGGGCUCUUUUGGGUCUUGUAAUUGGAACGAGUACAAUUUAAAUCCCUUAACGAGGAACAAUUGGAGGGCAAGUCUGGUGCCAGCAGCCGCGGUAAUUCCAGCUCCAAUAGCGUAUAUUAAAGUUGUUGUGGUUAAAAAGCUCGUAGUUGAACCUUGGGCCUGGCCGGCCGGUCCGCCUCACCGCGUGCACUGGUCCGGCCGGGCCUUCCCCCCCGCGGAACCCCAUGCCCUUCACUGGGCGUGGCGGGGAAACGGGACUUUUUACUUUGAAAAAAUUAGAGUGCUCCAGGCAGGCCUAUGCUCGAAUACAUUAGCAUGGAAUAAUGAAAUAGGACGUGCGGUUCUGUUUUGUUGGUUUCUAGGACCGCCGUAAUGAUUAAUAGGGACAGUCGGGGGCAUCAGUAUUCAAUUGUCAGAGGUGAAAUUCUUGGAUUUAUUGAAGACUAGCUACUGCGAAAGCAUUUGCCAAGGAUGUUUUCAUUAAUCAGGAACGAAAGCUAGGGGAUCGAAGACGAUCAGAUACCGUCGUAGUCUUAACCAUAAACUAUGCCGACUAGGGAUCGGACGAUGUUAUCUUUUGACUCGUUCGGCACCUUACGAGAAAUCAAAGUGCUUGGGCUCCAGGGGGAGUAUGGUCGCAAGGCUGAAACUUAAAGAAA
rnacentral:rRNA from 1 species